AGAACGAACGCUGGCGGCAAGCUUAACACAUGCAAGUCGAACGGAUUUUUAUCAUAGCUUGCUAUGAUAAAAAUUAGUGGCAGACGGGUGAGUAAUGCAUAGGAAUCUACCUAGUAGUAUGGGAUAGCCACUAGAAAUGGUGGGUAAUACUGUAUAAUCCCUGCGGGGGAAAGAUUUAUCGCUAUUAGAUGAGCCUAUGUUAGAUUAGCUAGUUGGUAGGGUAAAGGCCUACCAAGGCAGUGAUCUAUAGCUGGUCUGAGAGGAUGAUCAGCCACACUGGAACUGAGAUACGGUCCAGACUCCUACGGGAGGCAGCAGUGGGGAAUAUUGGACAAUGGGCGCAAGCCUGAUCCAGCUAUGCCGCGUGAGUGAGGAAGGCCUUAGGGUUGUAAAACUCUUUCAGUGGGGAAGAUAAUGACGGUACCCACAGAAGAAGUCCCGGCAAACUCCGUGCCAGCAGCCGCGG
rnacentral:rRNA from 1 species